rnacentral:sRNA from 1 species
AAAAAAAUCUGAGGGCAGUGGAAAUCCUUUUUGCCUGCCUGAAGCACAGUUGAAGGGCAAAAAAGAUUGUAACGGAAAGCAGGACAACCA